UGUGCCGGCAGCUGGGCUGCGGCCCCGCCCUCAGCGCACCUGUGGGGCCGCACCUGCCGGGGGGGGAGCCUCACCUGGCCGGGUUCACCUGCCGGGGGAGCGAGGAGCUGCUGCUCGAGUGCCGGGGGCUGCAGGCAGGUACCUGCCCGACAGGUGUGGCCGCCGCCGUGGCCUGCGCGGAGCUGCCAGCCGUUCCCGGCUCCUGCUCGGUGCUGGAGGCUCUGCUGGGGGUGGGGGCGGGGCUCUGCGGGGCCCUGCUGGGCCUUUACCUGUGCGCCAGGUGUGCCCCACCCCGCCGGGGCUGGCGCCGCACAGGUGAGCCCCUGCUGCCAGAGCAGCCCCCGCGCUCACCUGAGCUGUAGGAGCCCGGGACACCCCCAAACCACCUCGGAACUACCGUGAAAUACCCCCCAAGACCAGCAAAAACCAGUAAAAACCAGUGAAAAACAAUAAAAACCAGUAAAA